rnacentral:rRNA from 1 species
AGGGUGUAAACGCUGCAGACUUGGUGUUGGAGGCCCUUUGGGGGGCGAUUCAGUGCCGGAGAGAAGUUGUUAAGUCUGCUACUUGGGGAGUACGUCCGCAAGGAUGAAACUUAAAGGAAUUGGCGGGGGAGCACCGCAACGGGAGGAGCGUGCGGUUUAAUUGGAUUCAACACCGUAAACUCACCAGGGAAGACUGUUACAUGAAGGCCGAGAUGAAGACUCUGCUAGAUUUUCAGAGAGGAGGUGCAUGGCGUCAGUGACU